rnacentral:lncRNA from 10 species
ACAAAAGCUCGCCGAGUCUUCCUGUCCACCCAAUCGCCCCACAUGUCAGCGGUUGGUCGCCUCGCGGUGCAGUGCUGGGCACGCGAGCCCCUCCCGCAGUCAUUCUCAGCACAAGCACCAGCCUGGAGCCCCGCAGCGACAGAGCUGAGAGCCCCCAAGCCGCAGAGGUCGUGCGGAGCAGGUUGCAAAUGUCUUAGAAACACACUCCUGGACCACAGCUUCAAGAGACGCAAGCAGUCACCUCAUCUGCUGGUUUCCAAGCUGCCCUGCCAGAAGCAGGUCAGGGGUCCCACAGGGGUCCUCAGUAACUCCUCAAAAUCCUCUCCCAUCAAUGGCCCCACCAGAUCAUCCCUACUUUUGAAUGCUUGUCCAAUGCAGGUUCCAGGUUGGUCUAAUUGAAGGCAAUGGAGAAGUAAGUCUUUAUGGAUCAAAAUCUUAGCUCUAGAAAAGAUUUGAUUAAGUGAAACAAAGCCCCAGCUGCUGGAGCAGAGGUUCCACUUGGGUUCCACAGACACCCACAGCCCAAAUCCCUGGAGGCCUAAGGCAAUAGCUAAUUGAGACUAUGCAUCACUAUUAAGGCAUCUUCACUAAAGGGCGCUGUGGAAACGCUGCCUGAGAUGCAGACACCUGUCAGAAGGGGGCUAAAUUUCAAACAAGGAACGUGGUGUUGCAUCACAAUAAAGUAGAUUCUAGUAUUACCUUCCUUUUUCAGAAGAGGAGACCAAUGGGGAGCAUUGGAAUGAUUUGGUUGCAAGCAUACUACACUACUUGUAAACUGCAGACACAGGCUUAAAAAAAGUGAAAAACUAACCAUGCAAUAAAGAAUGGAAUGAACCAUGAAGCUGUUUCUGUGGCCAGUCAUGUUUUUGAAGCAUAUCCCAUGCUAAUUUCUAGAACAGAAGAAACACACGUGUUCUUGUGUGUAAACCCAGUCCAUGGAAGAGACCGUCUGCUUGUCCCUCCUGAUCUCUGGGCCCAGACAACCAGUAGUCACCAUUCCAAGUGAGGGGUGGCUGCAACUCUACAGCCCCGUUCGUCUCUCCUCACUGUCAAAGCUGCUGAGACCCCAGACUCGACACUUGAAAGAAACCCAUGUCUGUGAAGCACUUGUGGACCAUUCAAGAUUGUGGAAGAAUCACUCAAGAGAAGGAGAUAGGUGAUGGGAUCUAGCUUCUGAUGGUUUCUAUUUUAUUGAAUGUCUAAUAGGGCAAGAAUUUGAAAAACGAGAAUGUUUGCCAUGCAGGAGGACCUGGGAAGGAGAUAACACAUUUACAGGGAGAAAGAUUGGGAUUCAGUUGGGAGGAGUAACUGAGGAAAGGGGUCACUCAAAAUAUUUUGUAUUUUAGGUCCUUUUUCUAUUAAGGAGGAAUGGAUUAUCAAAGCCUUAACAUUAAAUUGUAUUGUGUCAGGUGAAUUGCUAUGGUUUGAAUGUGGUGUGUCCCCCUCCCAAACUCACAUUGAAUUUUUUUUUUUUUUUUUGAGACGGAGUCUCGCUCUGUUGCCCAGGCUGGAGUGCAGUGGUGCGAUCUUGGCUCACUACAAGCUCUGCCUCCCGGGUUCAAGAGAUUCUCCUGCCUCAGCCUCCCGAGUAGCUGGGAUUACAGAUGUUCGUCACCACACCUGGCUAAUUUUUGUAUUUUUAAUAGAGAUGGGGUUUCACUAUGUUGGCUAGGCUGGUCUCAAACUCCCGACAUCAGGUGAUCCACCCACCUCGGCCUCCCAAAGUGCUGGGAUUAGAGGAGUGAGCCACUGCACCCAGCCUCACGUUGAGGUUUAAUUGCCAUUGUAACAGUAUAAAGAUGUGGGACCUUUACGAGGUGAUUAGGCAAUGAGGACUCUGCCCUCAUGAAUGGAUUAAUGCUGUUAUCAUGGGAGUGGAUUCCUUAUAAAGGGACACGUUCAGCACCCCCUUGCUCUCUCUCUCACCUUCCGCCAUAUGAUGAUGGGGCACAAAGGCCAUCAUCAGAUGUUGGCCCCUUGUUCUCGAACUUCCCAACCUCCAGAGCAGUAAAAAAAUAAAUCACUGUUCUUUAC